GGUCGGGUAGCUCAGCGGUAGAGCCCCGGGCUCAUAACCCGGUGCGCAGAGGUUCGAUCCCUCUCCCGGCCACCA
rnacentral:tRNA from 2 species